UACAUAGGGUGCGAGCGUUAAUCGGAAUUACUGGGCGUAAAGUGUGCGCAGGCGGCCGAGCAAGUCGAGUGUGAAAGCCCCGAGCUUAACUUGGGAACUGCGCUCGAAACUACUUGGCUAGAGUGUGGCAGAGGGAGGUGGAAUUCCACGUGUAGCGGUGAAAUGCGUAGAGAUGUGGAGGAACACCGAUGGCGAAGGCAGCCUCCUGGGCCAACACUGACGCUCAUGCACGAAAGCGUGGGGAGCAAACAGG
rnacentral:rRNA from 1 species